AUCAUCAACUUUAUAAUGUUUUAACAACGGCUCGUUACAUCAUAGCAGCAUGACCAAAUAAAACCCCUUGUAUAGGUUGGAAGGUUUACUUGUUUGAUCAAUAGAAAGUUAAUCAAUGUUUUAAAUCAUGUGCUAGGAUCCUGCAUUUAAGAUAAAAGAAUCUUAAGCAAGUAUUAAAUAGACCAAAAGAAAAAGGAAUUAUCAAUUUAUAUCAAUGUUUCUCUUAUCUAUUCCUUGUGUGUGGCACAUUAAUUUACAAACCUAG
rnacentral:misc_RNA from 1 species